ACUGCUGGGGAUGGACCCCAGGGCCUUGAUACAUGCUAGGUGGGUACUCUACCACUGACCUAUAUCCCUAGCAGCUAGAUUCAUUUUUUUUUUCACAAUUUUUGUUCUUUUUAGAUAUACAUGACAGUACAGUGUAUUCUGAUAUAUUAGACAUACAUAGAGUACAACUUAUUCUAAUUAGGAUCCCAUUCUUGCGGAUGUACAUGAUGUGGAGUUUCACUGGUGGUGCAUUGAUAUAUGAACAUAGGAAAGUUAUAUCAGAUACAUUAUGCUGUCUUUCCUAUUCCCAUUACCUCUUCCUUCCUUUCAUUUCCCUUUGUCUAAUUAAACAAACUUCUAUCCUUCCCCCCGCCCUUAUUGUGUGUCAAUAUCCACAUAUCAGAGAGAACAUUCAGACUUUGUUUUUGGGGGGUAUUCGUUUAUUUCACUUGGCAUGAUAGUCUCCAGUUCCAUCCAUUUACUGGCAAAUACCAUAAUUUCAUUCUUCUUUAAGGCUGAGUAAUAUUCCAUUAUGUACUUAUACCACAUUUUUUUCCAUUAUGUACUUAUACCACAUUUUCAUCCAUUCAUCUGUUGAAGGGCACCUAGGUUGGUUCCAUAGCUAAGCUAUUGUGAAUAAUUGCACUGAAACUUUAGACCAAUUUGAGGAGAAUUUUUGAGCUUCUCUAAACAUUGAUGUUGCCAUCACUGUAGCAUGCUGAUUUUAAGUCCUUUGGGUAUAUACCAAGGAGUGAGAUAACUGGGUCAAAUAGUGGUUCCAAUCCAAGUUUCCUGAGGAAUCUACAUACUGCUUUCCAGAAUGAUUACACCAGUUUGCAUUCCCACCAGCAAUGUAUGAAUGAACCUUUUUCCCACAUCCUCACCAACAUUUAUUGUUAUUUGUAUUCUUUGAUAAUUGCCAUUCUGACUAGAGUGAGAUGGACUCUCAAUGUAGUUUUAAUUUGCAUUUCUCUAAUUGCUACAGAUGUCGAACACAAUAAGGAUGGAAGGAGACUAGAAGUUCAUUGAAUUAGACAAGGGGAAUGAAGGGAAAGGAGGGGUAUGAGAAUAGAAAAGAUAGUAGAAUGAAUCAGACAAACUUUUCUAUAUUCAUAUAUGAAUACCAACCAGUGAAACUCCACAUCAUGUACAACAACAAAGUAGGAUCCUAAUUAAAAUGAGUAUAAUUUUAAUUGUCAAAUUACACUCUACCUACACUCAUACCUAAAAAGAAUAAAAAAAUCAAAAUGAAUGGCAUUUUAAAAAAUCACUUAUUUUCUUCUCUCAUGCCUAAUCUGUUGAUUCCAUGCACUGUAUUUUUC
rnacentral:lncRNA from 1 species